GGAAAGAUGGCUGAGUUUGGUCUAAGGCGCACGACUGGAAAUCGUGUAUACGGGGAACCGUAUCAAGGGUUCGAAUCCCUUUCUUUCCGCCA
rnacentral:tRNA from 1 species